GACGAACGCUGGCGGCGUGCCUAAUACAUGCAAGUCGAACGCAGUGGGGACGGGUGAGUAACACGUGGGUAACCUCCCAUCAGAGGGGAUAACACUUGGAAACAGGUGCUAAACCGAUACUGAUGGAUGGACCCGCGGUGCAUUAGCUAGUUGGUGAGGUAACGGCUCACCAAGGCCACGAUUGAUAGCCGACCUGGGAGGGUGAUCGGCAAAACUUGGACUGAGACACGGCCAAGACUCCUACGGGAGGCAGCAGUAGGGAAUCUUCGGCAAUGGACGAAAGUCUGACCGAGCAACGCCGCGUGAGUGAAGAAGGUUUUCGGAUCGUAAAACUCUUGUACUCGGGACGCGGUACCUGAAUAGAAAGCCACGGCUAACUACGUGCCAGCAGCCGCGGUAAUUC
rnacentral:rRNA from 1 species